AAAAUAUAAUUUUUUGUUAUGUUUGUUUUUUCCCUGGUGUCACAGCUGUACCUCUUCAGCAAGGAAAAGCUUCUAUCCACCUUGAGAAUAAGUCAACAAGAUAAACUGUUAAAGAAAACGUGGCACAUAUACACCAUGGAAUACUAUGCAGCCAUAAAAAAGAAUGAGUUCAUGUCCUUUGGACAUGGAUGAAGCUGGAAACCAUCAUUCUCAGCAAACUAACACAGGAACGGAAAACCAAACACCACAUGUUCUCACCUGUGAUUUCUAUUUUCUUUUCAACUUAAAAAGGUGUAUCAAUAUUCCAUCUUAAGACAAUAUGGUAGCCAUGAAGUCUAUGUAAGAAAGGCCUAAAGUCAUGACCCCCAUGACUUUCAGAUGAGACUACUCUGGAUGCAAAUGUGAACGGCUUCCUGUACUGCACUCUGCCAUUCCUCAUAACCUCUGGGCUGAUUAAAGUUCAAUUAGUUGGAACAUUUUAUUUCUCUCAUUCCCAAGAGUCUUUCUGGACUCCUCUAUAAGUGUGCUCUAAUUAGAAUUAAUAGAUGAGUUGCAAAUUUGUUUAUCCUGUCUUUGCAUUUAUUUUCUAUUUUCAGAGAUGAUUUUAGUCUUUUAGGUUUGAAACUUUUCCCCAGUAUGUAAAGGCCUUCUUCAAUCAACCUCUGGUGAACUGAGUGCUAAAGAGAAGCCUGUUUAUUCAAAUACUCUUUAUUCCUUCUUAGGAUAUUUUAUUUACAUUCUAAAAGCUUUUAGGAUGUAUUAAAGUUUCAUACUGAUGGAUUUAGUUGUGGAUCUUCGUUUCACUAAAUGUGCUGGGCAUUCACUGUACCCAUGCAAUCUGCUGCCUGUUGACCUUGGCAGCACUGAUAUUCCCUUUUGGACUCUUCCUCUAUUCUCUUAUAUGUGUAAAUGUUUCUAAAUAUUUAAAUCUUUACCUCAUUAUUUUGUUUUUUUGAGAUAAUAAUCUUCAA